GCAGGUGUGGCGGAAUUGGUAGACGCACCGCACUCAAAAUGCGGCGGGGAAACCCUUGUCGGUUCAAGUCCGACCACCUGUA
rfam:Synechococcus sp. CC9311, complete genome.